UGGGGAAUAUUGCACAAUGGGGGAAACCCUGAUGCAGCGACGCCGCGUGGACGAUGAAGUGCCCCGGUACGUAAAGUCCUGUCAGCAGGGAAGAAAACGACAGUACCUGACCAAGAAGCCCCGGCUAACUACGUGCCAGCAGCCGCGGUAAUACGUAGGGGGCAAGCGUUAUCCGGAUUCACUGGGCGUAAAGGGAGCGCAGGCGGCACGGCAAGUCUGGUGUGAAAGCCCGGGGCCCAACCCCGGGACUGCACUGGAAACUGCCGGGCUGGAGUGCCGGAGGGGUAAGCGGAAUUCCUAGUGUAGCGGUGAAAUGCGCAGAUAUUAGGAGGAACACCAGUGGCGGAGGCGGCUUACUGGACGGUCACUGACGCUGAGGCUCGAAAGCGUGGGGAGCAAACAGG
rnacentral:rRNA from 1 species